UUGAUCUCUAAUAUUGUGGUUUUUUACGGUUUAAUAAUCAGGUUGAAAAUUCUUUCCAAUGAAAAAGUAAUUUAUUUUUGAUAAAAAAAUUUCUUUUUUGUUGAAAUUGAUAUUAGUGUUUUGGAUGGAUUGAUAGGGUGACUAAUUAAAAGGUAUUAGGGAGUUUUGAAAAUUUUAUUUUUAACUGUUUCGUUGAACAAACAUCUCACUUCAGUUAAAUCUUUAACUGUUUAUUUGAUGUGGGAAUUUUUAAAUGAUUACUGACCACAUCUAUAUUAUAAAAGAAGUGUUGUCUGUCUGUGACAAAACCAAUGACGGCUGAGAUCGACCAUAAAAGACCAAAAGAUGGCCAAAAUCGACCAAUUUAUGACGAGACAAAGAACGGCAGAUAUUAUAAAUAACUGGAUAAAUCUGACUGUUGAAAUCAUCAUCCUCCGGACAGGAUAGACCGAUCGGUGAGGUAUACGAAUGGGAGUUCGUGUACCAGGUCAUCAUAGCAUCUCUGGGUGCUUGAUUUCGAGAAUGGUGCAUCGAGUGUUACUUAUAACCUCUUAGAAGACUUUUUAACUCAGUUGAGAGAGUAGUAUGCUUCCUGACUGAGUACUUUGUGCAAGGGUCUUAACUUUGAUACUUGGAAAUCCGUGCUACUCUGCUGCGAGUGAACACAAAUCCGUCAUGCCAUACCGAUAUUAAGGGUUCUACUGAGGAACAUAAGCACAAGAAAAGUACUCAACAGGCUCCGGGUUUUGUGAGUAAUGCAGCUAGGACCUUAUACACUCAUUAGGCUGUAUACUAGUGAACAAUUCAUCUAGGAGAUUGAGUUUCAAUAUAAUAUGAAGAGAGACAUAGGCGCUCAUCAGAGUUUGAUAUGUUCUCCAAAUUCCCUGCGGAAUAUAGACAUAUCAAUGUCUACUACAUCUGAUGCCGAGUCAGGUAGAUAGACUUUUACAAAUUUAGCCCUGAACUAAAAAUCACCAUCAACAUUAAGUCCUCUGCUUAGCUCGUAACAGUGGCAUUGUUGCGGGGUAAGCAUGAGAUAGUGACAGACAAGGGUAAAAUCUAAAAGGCAAGACAUAGAGAGAUUGCCAGGAAAAUUCGACUAACCUUUGGCAGGAGGCAUGAGGAAUCUGUGAUCCUUGCAUUGGCGGCUUUGCGUAAUUCCGGCUUGGCCAUAGGGUACUGGCGUUGGCGCUGCCACUUUGGUCACGGAGUGUUAACGCUGGCGCUGCAGGUUCGGAUACAGAAUGCUAAUGCUGGCGCUGCAGGUUCGACUACGGAAUGCUAAUGCUGGCGCUGCAACCUUAGCCACUGAAUGGUGAUGAUGACUGGCUCGACCACGUAACGGGCGGAGAUGGCGCUGGAACUUUGGCUACUGAUCGGCAGAGAUGGCGCUGUAACUUCGGCUACUGAUCGGCAGAGAUGGCGCGGCGACUUUGGCUACUGAUCAGCAGAGAUGGUGCUGCAACUUGGUCCGCGGAACGGUGGGUGGCGCUUGACUUCAGUCUGUGGAGUGGUGGAAACAACACUUGGCUUCAGUCCGUGGAAUGGUCGAAACGGAACUUGGUUUCAGUCCGCGGAAUGGUGGAAACAACACUUGGCUUCGGUCUUGGAAUGGUGGAAACGACACUUGGAUUUAGUCGUGGAAUGGUGGAAACGACACUUGGCUUCAGUCCGUGGAAUGGUGGAAACAUCACUUGGCUUCAUUCCGUCGAAUGGUGGAAACGGCACUUGGCUUCAGUCCGUGGAAUGGUGGAUGGCGCUGCUACUUCGGCCACAGAGUGGUGAUGAUGGCGUGGAAACUUCGGCCACGGAGCGCUGAUGAUGGUGCUGCAACUUCGACCACGGAGCGCUGAUGGUGCUGUAACUUCGACCACGAACUGUAGAUGUUGGCGCUACUGGCUUGGCCGCGGACUGUUGAUGUUGGCGCUCGGCUGGCUUGACCACGAAGCGUUGCAGGUUGAGCGGCUGGUGUUCCUCGUGUUGGCGCGCUGCUGGUUCGGUCAUGGAGCGGAGAUAUUGGCACACGGCUUGUUCGGCUAUGGAGCACGAGUGUGAUGCGCCCAGUCAUAUAUUCCCAUUCAUGGAGCAAGGAGGAAUCCUUCUUCUGUUCAAACUCUAGAAACUUCGUUCGUAUGAAAAGGGAUAUCGAGCCUCUUCUGUUUUUGUUGCUCGUCCGGCUCCGUGCUUUCGUCUGCAGCGUCCGGCUCAUCUUCGUCAUUUUUUAGCGGUAGUAGAGCGAGCAUUAACGGCAAUAAAGCAAUCUCCAAUAGUUAUAGUCAGCAGCAAGACGAGCCAGGAGAACUCAAGGUAGGUGCUCUUUUCCAUUUUGCGCAUGUAGCCACUCAACAGUACCAUCGAUCUUCUCAAGAAUGUGUAAUAAGGUUCUGACUCCAGGAGAAUGAGUAUCUAAUCUCUCCAGCAGAUUUCAAAAUUUACCAAACUCCAUUAUACUCUUGGGAUGGAUGGAUGAAAUAUAUGCUCGGCAAUGAUCAUGUCAUGGCUAAUCUUGGAGAUUGUA